UUCAUCCAGGAAGAGCACAGAUCAACUGCAGAUGCUUUCUCUGCCUGACAAAAGUUCAUUGCAAAAUGGAACAAUGGAAAAGGACAAACAUGAAAAGCCCUGGGAGCCAUCCAUGGAGAGAAGAGAGAUUAUAACUUGCACCUGAUGCCCGUGCUUAGAACAGAAUCCAGGAAAGAACCAGAAAACUUCAGAAUAUUGCCAUGUAUAUCAACUGACUGCUGACAAAGACCUGGAAAAAGACAUCCUGUGAACCUCUGCUGAGACAACCUACAAAAUUUGGUGCUGAAAUGAAGAAUGCUUGAAGCAUACUGUCCGAGGCACAUGCAGUCCUUAGCAUAUUUCCAUUGUGUCAAACUGCUCCAACUCAUCCUACCUUCAGUCAGCUAACUGUGAAUGCAGUUAAAAUGCAUAUGGAUAAAUGCUGUCAUAUAAAUGUGGAAUGCAAUGAAAACAAGGGCACAUCCUCUUUCCUUCUAUUGACUCAUUAUGCACUUAUACAUUUUAAGUCCAGAAAGGACAAUUAGAUCAUUUAGUCUGAAUUCCUAUAUAAUACAUGCACACAGUACAGUUUCAUCCAGUUACUAACCAUAUUGAGCUUAAUACCUUGUGGUUGUCUAAACUAAGUAUCUUCCAAGUCAGCAUAACUUGAACUUUUGCCUUCAAGAGAUUGAGAAUCCAGGCUUUUGAAUUCAUUUUAUAAAAUGUUGUGUUUUUCCAGGGGAUAGUAUCAUGGGAAGCCCUUGCUCAGGUCACCUAAAUAUGAGUUAUGGAGACAGAGCAAUUUUCAAGAUGAUGAAACAUGCUGAUGUUAGGACUCUUAGAGUAGCCUACCUUUUAAACGGAAAGCAAUGCUCAGAUUUAACCUAUAGCAGAGCUGACACCUUGCUAUAACAUAAGGACUAAUUUCACUAAAUGCCUCAUUUAUUUUAGUGGAAUCUCAUUCCUUCAGAUCAUUGUCAGGAGUCCAUUAGUGAAGUAGAUAGAGCAGAAACCCAUGGUUAAAUGAACAUGGAGAUUAACCUCCUGUUUUAUUACUUUAGAUGCAAGUAGGCUCCUAGUACACAGUUGAAACAUUCUCCUAAAGUUGUUGCGGGAGAGGGGAGGAGACCCACGUUCUGUCUGCCUUUCACAUGGUUCAUCUAGUCCUUAUAGUCUUUCACUCACCUACCCACAGUCUAUUCACCACUCAACCUCUUCUGCAAAGAGGAAAUCAAUACACAGUUUAACUAGUGAUUCUGUUCAGUGGAGGAAGGGAUUCCAUGGGCUUGUAUAUUCAGUGAUGGCCUUCAUAGGUACUUUCAGUAAGUGGCCACAUGAGGCACUAAACCUGAAGGGUCACUUAGUGCCUCCAGUAGAAACAAGCUGCUUUGGAAUAUGACACUGGAUUUGAAGUUAAGAAGCCAGAGUUCAGUUUCUAGAUAUGCCACCAACCUUCUCGAGGACUUUGGGAUAAUAACUGAAUCCCUCUGUGGCUCAAAUGGGCAAAAUGCUAAAUUAGUCUUUUAAGCCCUUCUUCAAUAAGGCAAUGCUGCUUAUAGCAUCUGUUCUUCCAGAAAGACUAGAUUGAAUGAUCCAUAUACUAUUUGCCUCAAUAUUCACCAAAAAAAAGCUGCAGUCAGACACCUGAUAUUGAUUAUUUGAACAAGGAAGGGGACAAGCUGAGGGAUGAGAUAACAAAAAAGACAGCUAGAGAACUUUUGAUGGGUCCGAAUGAAUUCAUGUCAUCAGGGCCUGAUGCAAUUCAUCCCAGAGCACUGAAAGAACUGGCAGAGGAGAUCUCAGAGCCUUUGCAAUAAUAUUUAUAAAGUCAUGUGAGAUGGCCAAGGUGCCAGAAGACUGGGUAUAUAUAAUGCCUCUCUUCAAAAAUGUCAACAUAGUGCCCCUCUUCAAAAAAGGAAAACCAAAGGAACUAUAAACUGGUUAGCUUCACCUCAAGACCCCAAAAGUUACUGAAACACAUUAUAAGGAAAUCUGUUUACAAGCAUCUGGAUGAGGAAAUGGUGAUCACAACCAUCUGGCAUGGAUUUACUGGUAGUAAGAAGAAAGUGUACCAAAUCUUUGAAAAAUCAUGGCAAUUUGGAGAGGUCCCAGACAAUUGGAAAAAG